GGUUGAGGUUUGUGCGUGGAGACGUAGAUCGCUGUGUAUUGCUAUCUGCAGUCAUUACAAAAGUUGGUAUAACUAGAGAAGCAAGCGGUCAACAACAUUCAUCUCUGGAGGGGGUGUCUAACUCGGUGUUACGGUGUGUUUGACUCUAACUUAAAAUUUUAAUGGAAUGUCCCUUUAAACAUGUAUUGCUUAUUUUUGUAAUCUUCUUUUUGAUCUGCUUGGUACACAAUUACACUUUUCCCAUGCUGACAGACUGUAGGGUAUAAGAGGAUCCCACGAAAAGCAGGGAAUGUUUCAGGUGUGUUUAAUGUUUUAUGCAUAUGUUUUUGGGUUGAGCUCCAAUGGAUUCUCAUACAUCAAAGUAAAGCCCAGUCAAGCUGGGGCAGAGGUAAAGCUCAGUUUGUACCCUGUGUAACCACAUGUUCCUUCUUUCUGUUCAGCCAUAGUGAAGGAGCUCAUAUUAAUAAGCAGUCCUUGUAAUUAAAAAUGACUGACAAGCAACCAGGUUGAUCUAGCAAUCUCAGCCUUGCAUAAAAUGUCCCCCUGAGCUGUGUAAGGCCUGGCUGCAGUCCACCCAGCUCCCAAGCACAUGUGGCCUCCAUAUGUGGCUCCUGGGAUGAAUGCAGUCAGGCACGUGGAGGACUCUGUGAAGAAAACACUUAAUAGCACAGCUACAGUGGCAAAAACCUCAACACAAUUAUAUCAGUAUGCUGUGGCUUUCUCUCAUAGGACGACCCCAUUAGGAAGAGCCUUUAGUUUUGAAGGUCAAGAAAUAUGUAAGGUGAGAAAAAUGGCUGUCUCCUUCGACCCCAAAGAGCAUGUGAACAUGUGAAAUGUGCCUCACCCCAAUCAAUUAUUGAAAUGUCAUUUAAUCUUAGGACUAAUACUUGACCCCGGCUGGAACAGCUUUAAAGCAUUAAAUAGUGAUUAGUGCCCAAUGUUUGUGCACAACUAAGGCCCGAACUACACGUAUAUGGAUAUUUAUUUAUCAGGAUAUUUUUGUACUCCCGUCUAAAUAAAUGUAUCUGUCCACACGUGUUCGUUCUCAAAAAUAUCUGCGUCCACACGUAGCCUUCAAACUCAAUCCUAUCUGGUGCCGCUUAAAAAAAAUUCAGGAACAAAGCUAACUGAUUGGCCGAUGAAUCGUAACAGCGUGAUGCCUCAUGCAUUGUUUGCGGAAGCUACGCUAGUGCGUCGGGUCCAUGUGACGGACCAUGUGACCAAUAAAAGUAUUGGCCGCAGCAGACGCGUCUGUGAGCUGGCUGACUGGUGGAUGUAAUUGUAUAAAACAAGCUUCACUUGCAAGGCUGAAAUUAGCCCCAAAAGGGCAAAACAAACGUAAAGAAUACCCUGUCUGUCCGCCGUUGUUGUUGUUGUUUUUCUUUUUAAUUCGCAUGCGCGAGCUGCGGUUUGACGUCAUCGAUCCGUAAAAAUCCAACCACACGAAUCCACUACGGAUACGGGAUACGGAUAUUUUUUUAUUUUUCCACUUGUUUUUCCGGAUUCAGAUUUAUCCGGUUUGAGUGCUCCAAACUCCUGUUUUGGUGUGGUAGGGAGGCCUAAUCGGACAUAAAUAUGUGCGGUUUGAAAUAUAUCCGCAUUCGUGUAGUUCGGGCCUAACAGUCUGGGAGCAUACAACUCUUCACCUAUUAUCACUUUUUAUAAACUUUAUGUCUUUAAACAGAAGAAGAGCAAUGACCCACUGUGUAGAUUGAUCAAUCCUUUUGGCUGUGAGAGCCAAAGCAGUCCGACAGAAUGCUGAGCAGUGUGAUGACGUAAACAGACAUCUGUUUGUUGGUUAUACUGGGUAAACUGUAUGGAAGCUAAUUAUAAACAAAGUUAGGGUUAAUGAUUGUCUCUGAUUCAUGAUGCAUGAAAUCUGGCUCAGAAGUUACCAAUGCUUCUAUUAAUACAGCAAUAAAAAAACGUAGAAACCAUGAUGAUGUCUUGUUUAAAUACUAAAUGAUACAUAGAGUUUUUGACUGGUGGAGAAACCAUGGACUAUAUAUAGAAUAGACACCAUCUGCCUCCUCACUGGGUGAAGCCACCCCAAGAACAGCACCCUCUGCUGACAGGAUGCAGUAUAGGUCAUAAAUCCCGCCUCCUCCAGCAAUCCCUAUGGAGCUGUGGACAAACUUAAAAUAUUUAUUACACAGAAUAUAUAUUUUUCUCCCCCCUGGUUGCGGUGUUGACAUGUAGUUACUGUGAGACUGGUUUGUGCUCAAGUCCUCUUUUUUUCUGUACAGCUCCAUUCUUAAAAGUUAUUAGAAGGUUCAUGUUUUCUAUAAUUGAGAUUUGAUACAGCCAAUGGGUGCAAGAAGAUUGCAUAGCUUACCCAGGGGUUACGCUGCUUGAGCCGAGCGUCAUCACGGCGACUCUCCCGCAGGAUGCGUACAACGCUACUGUGCAAUGUUGAUUCAGGAAGUGGAGAAAAAAGGAGGAAUUACAGAGAGCUUUUUGGCUUCAAAUCUGUAUACUGGCAGAAGGUGGAACCAAGUUGUCCAUGGUAUACACAGUCUAUGGGAGAAAUAGACUGAAACUGACACUGCUGACUCUUUAUGACCUUUAGAAGCAUACAGGACCAUCAUCAGCAUGACUGGUAAUUUUGAGAGCCUAAAACUGCUUUCAUUACUUUCACAUGUACAGAACAAGAGAUAGGAGACAUUACUUUGUCCACAGGGGGCAUCAAAAUCGACACAAACCAAAAGUUCCUUGCAGUAGCUGUAGUGGAGAGCACCAUGAAGAUAUGUGUUCGUGCAGUAUUUGCUGUGAAAUACAUUCUAGGUUGAUUUUUUGAGAGGUUAUUUGUGAAAACGACUGAGUAUUGGCACGAUCAAAUUUUCAUGCCUAAAGAGGGAACCACCCUUGAUAAAUAAAAGACUGAGGUAAAAAAAGAAAAAGGAGUACCUUUAUAUACAUUAUUUAUCUAUUUGAUUUUAUCUUAUGGUGAGAACCUUUUGAAACACUCUUCGCUGUUUCUCUUUUUCAAGCCAAGUUACAGGAGGCUGUAGUAAAAACUCUGCGUCAUUCCUCUCUGGGAUGGGAGAGUUAAAGGAACGGCUCUCCCCUGUGAUUCAGACUUCAGAGUUUGGACAACUGGACAGGAGUCUUAAGUCAGAGUCUGCAGCUCUGUUUGAUCAUUUCAUGCAGUUUUUUUGCUAACUCUGGAAAGAAUCCUCUCCAUGUGGGUGCAUGCGCAUUUGAGGGAAAAGAGAAGAGGUAUCUCUGAUCUUGACAGAAACCCCCAGAGACCAGGUUUUCAUCUCUUUUCCUGAUAAAUCUCUGAACAAAAACAAGAGGUUCUGACAUUCUUCAAAGGGGGCUGAGAAAAAUCUAUAACCCAUCUGGGUGGAGUCUUUCAUCAAUAUCACAUGAGGAUCUCACACUGCUCUCAUGUGAAGCUGGCAACAAGGUUUUGUUUUUCCUCUGCAGCCCUGACCACAGAAGGCUUGCUUUUUUGUGUGGAGCUGUGGGAAUGUGGCAGCAGAAGACAUAGUGUGGACACUGAAAACAAAGUAGGUCUUGACAGGUCGAAGGCCCGGCACAAUGAAGGGAUUGUAGGGGUUUGCCCACAGUUGCAGAUGUUUUAAUUGGCAGUGGCUGAGAAGCAGAAAUAAGAGCAGAAACUCCUUUAAAAAAAAAAAAAAAUCUCUACCUGCAUGUUGUGAUGGAUGGAUGGUUGAAAAGGAAGAUAAAUUGAUGGAUGAAUGAAUAGAGCUAAAAAAAAAAAAAGAACUAUCCUCUAUUUGAAGCUGCAAUUUUCAAAAGGAAAAUGUAGAAUUAAACGACCAGCUUUAACAGCAAGGCUUUAAAGUCCCACUCCCAUCUUUUUUUUCUUUCUUACUACUUAAAGUGUUAUCAGUGGUCAUUAAAUUGUGAUUAUGAAGUUUUUAGCCAAAAUCACAUUACCUGUGUCAAUUUCAAGGACUUUUCUUCUGCAGAGCUCCAGUAGCUCAUUAGCAAUUCGCCUCUGAGUUUUGGGCGGAGACAGCACUGCUCUGCACACUCCUCUACAGUAGAUGUGGCAGGUAACAUAGGAGCUAUUCAGCUCUCAGACACUAAUGUCUUUAGGGACAAGAUGAAAGCUAGUAUUGUGAUUAGCUUUCUUACAAGCAUUGCAAUCCACUAACGCACACACUUGUUCCACGAUCGUCCACUCAAUCUCUCUGAGUGUGGCCUGCAAAGCGGGGCUCCGGGGGUGGAGCUUGGAUUGGGUACGUAUGAAAUCUCACUGUCUCUGAACCUGCCAGUUGGGUCUGCCUGAGAUUCACAGUGA
rnacentral:lncRNA from 1 species